GUUGCUCGCACACGCGUGGGCAAGCUAUGGCGGAGAGAUGCGGUGGCUUCCGCAAGCAGCAGUGGGGUACGGCGACGAGCUAGCCCGAGAGCAAUCCUUAUCCAACCAGUCCACACACAUUAGAUAAGGCCGUUUGGUGAUUUGUAAGGAAUUGGCGCAUCUUUGUUUGAAGUCAGCUCUUCAUUUCUGGGUCACUACUUUCGUGCUACCACCUAACGUUGAGUUCAUGGGGAACCUCUGAUUACCUUGACCUUCAUGCCAGUAUUUAAGCAAUCUUUUGAUGCUAUGUUUAUCCAAACGUCAUUUGGACUUGAUGAUAUUUAGCAAGGUGUACUGUUAAAUUAUGCUUAUUUUGGACGAUGCAUUGCUUUGGUCGUAUUCUGUAAUAUUCA